CCUACGGGGUGCAGCAGUGGGGGAUAUUGCACAAUGGGGGAAACCCUGAUGCAGCGACGCCGCGUGUGGGAAGACGGUCCUCUGGAUUGUAAACCACUGUCCCCAGGGACGAAGAUGACGGUACCUGGGGAGGAAGCUCCGGCUAACUACGUGCCAGCAGCCGCGGUAAUACGUAGGGAGCGAGCGUUGUCCGGAAUUACUGGGUGAAAAGGGAGCGGAGGCGGGACUGCAAGUUGGGUGUCAAAUCUACCGGCUCAACCGGUAGCCGCACUCAAAACUGCAGUUCUUGAGUGAAGUAGAGGCAGGCGGAAUUCCUAGUGUAGCGGUGAAAUGCGUAGAUAUUAGGAGGAACACCAGUGGCGAAGGCGGCCUGCUGGGCUUUUACUGACGCUGAGGCUCGAAAGUGUGGGGAGCAAACAGGAUUAGAUACCCCAGUAGUC
rnacentral:rRNA from 1 species